GAAGGAGGAGCAGUGGCUGAUCCCGAUGGUGUGGGCCCCAGACAGUGCGACCGCGUCGGUCGGGUUGAGGUUCUUGGUGGCGAGGGAGCUCAGGAUGGUUCCCGUAGUGGCAAACGGGGGCGGGAGGUUGGCCAAGGUGGUGUCUUGUGUUACUAACGUUGUACCGUCGCGGCGGCCUAACGCCACUUGGUACUUUGGCCCACCAGACUAUGGAAUAAAAAAAAUACACACAUUAGUUACAUUAAAUUAAACCGGAAAGGAAAUCGAUAAAUUCUAUCUAACCAAAUUCGUUCGACUCGAUUUUACCAGGACGACGGAGUCACGGGCAGCUAUAGCGACAAUGUCGGAGCAAGAGACGACGCGGCCGCACUCCUUGUGGACACGUGCACGGAGGUCGUCGAUGAUUCGGAAGGCUUCUUUCCUCAGGCUCAAGUUAGGUGGGGACCCUUGCUCCGCGCUGGGCCCACCUGCCGAUCCAGUCAGCAACACCGAUCCAUCACAUCCCUGAAAAUAAUUAUAAUAAAUAAAAUAAAAUUAUUUUGAUUUCCCAUACAACAAAAUAUCCAUAGCCAGAUUUCCUUCACCAUCCAUAGAAUUUAUUUCUCCAUAACUUGGUGGUUGUAUGGAACUAUAUGAAUUAUUGAUGUUUCCAUAUCAAAUAAUUAACUAAUUUUAAUGCUCCGAACAUGAAUAACGAAGCACAUACACGAGUGGCCAUCUAAAACGUCCACACGAGUACCAACCAUUUCACAAAAAAUAUUAUUCAAAUUCAAUACAUCUAAUAUAUGAUAUAUUACCUAAUUUAAUUACCAGCUCGACUAUGAAAACUCAAAUUAGAAAAUCCUAAUCAUUCAUUCCACUAAAUUCUUGAUAUGUCACAUUUGAAUAAUAUUUGACACAAUAAUACUAGUAAUAGUACAACAACCCCACAUUUAAUAAUUCUAGCUACAAGAGAGAAAAAAAUUAUAUUUUUGAAUUUUCAACAACCCAGUUAAAAAUAAAAAUCCAUCUACACUAGAAGCUAGUAAUUAUGAGUAAUCAUGGCUCUUAGUCAGCAACAAAUGGCGGAAUCAGGAAUCAUUAUGAGUAAUCAGGGCUCUUAGCCAGCAAAAAAUGGCGAAAUCAAGAGUAGACGAACUUAGAUGACAAGAUUUCCUGAUUCCAAAGUGACGAAAUUUUAUGUGUACCUCGACGAAGCAGUCAUGGAAGUGGAGGCGGAGCAAGCCUGCGGCCUGGCCGAUGUCCUUCUUGAACACUUCCUUGAGGCGCUUAGUGAUGAUGGACUCGAGCUUGGGGCAGGAGGACUUGUAGAAAGUCCACGACAUUCCUUUCGCCGG
rnacentral:lncRNA from 1 species